rnacentral:rRNA from 1 species
UACGGAGGUGGCAAGCGUUGUCCGGAAUUAUUGGGCGUAAAGCGCGCGCAGGCGGUCCUUUAAGUCUGAUGUGAAAGCCCACGGCUCAACCGUGGAGGGUCAUUGGAAACUGGGGGACUUGAGUACAGAAGAGGAAAGCGGAAUUCCACGUGUAGCGGUGAAAUGCGUAGAGAUGUGGAGGAACACCAGUGGCGAAGGCGGCUUUCUGGUCUGUAACUGACGCUGAGGCGCGAAAGCGUGGGGAGCAAACAGG